AUGAAGUAAUCUUUCUGAGGGUCCAGAGGAACCAGCGAUAAAGCUGGGAUUCUAACCCAGGUCUGUUUGAUUCCAAAGCCUGUGCUUUCAUACACUGUAGCUUCAUUUGAGAACACACGCACACACACCACACACACUGCCUCAAUGAAGUGUUGCCCUGCAGCACAGUUAGCCACUAGUUCAGAAAUCCCUUCGUCCAGCUGCAGUACGUGCGGCUGGGAAAUGAAUGACAAGCGUGUGAGAACAGCCCAGGAAAAGAAAGGAGGUACAAAUUCCCUGAAAAACAACUCCCAGAAAGGCACGUCUGUGUUGAUGUAUAAAAAUAGAAAAGGGUAGAAUCCUUGUGGCUGUGGAGCCCUAGCCUAGCAGCAGCAGCACGACAUCCUGUGACGUCAAGAAGUGGUGGCGGAAGUCGCUGCGAACAAUGGCCACAGAUGCCAGCCGAGGAGAGAGCACUGCUGGGGGAAGACGCGUGUGUCACCCGGCAGCUGCGGGGCGUGCACAGGAAGGAAGUGCAGAACCCGCGGCAUCACUGGCCUCCCUCCGAGCGCUGUUUUGAGCACCGAGCGACCUCAGAAGUGCAGGGCGCUCAGCACAGGUGGUUUAUCGUCACUGUUGUUAUGCCCUUCAUGUGGCCCAUUUCCCGCAGACACACAAGACAGAAACAGUAGCCUCUUUGAAAGAGGAGCUCCUGGACAGCUCUUGGGAGGGAAAUGCGCUCUUCUUUUUGACUUUUAUGACAUGAAGAAUCCGAAUAUGCUGGUCUUGGCACCCUAAAACAAGCCGGAAAGGGAAAUUCAGAUUUCACGUGACGCACAAGCAAAAGUGAUUUUCGCCCACCUGGAAUUUCUUCCCUUGAAAAGUUCUAAAGGAUCCUAGAAUGAGAGCAUAAUAUAGACGACAGAAAGUGAAUGCGUGGGCACAAGACGUCUUGUCAGCGGAGGAGAUUUGGCUGCCACAGGGAUGCACAGUGAGGAGCUCUGAACCGUACACGUGGGAAACCAAGCGCUGGGUGCAGCCUGGGAUGAGAAGCGAGGAAGACACGAGCCAUCUGUGGGCAGUGUGGCAGCUCCCAAGGGGAAGAGGCCAGUGUGAACCCCAGAAAAGUCAGGGUCUCAGAGCCGCAUGGCUCUGUGUUUAUAAUACCCUGAGGUUAUUGAACACAUUGCCCGGAGAAGCCUGUUCCAUAAAUCCACAAAGGGAAGGGCCGCUCCGUUCUCAACUGGGGGUAAUCUUUUUAAAAAAUUUGUAUUACUUUUUCAAUAUUGUUGCCACUGCUGCACCCUUGGCAUUAUCUGUGAGCAAUCCUGUGGACCUGGCAGACGCCGGGACCAACUUGCAUUGGGAAAUGCCACAAGUGGAAAAUCUGAGUAAAAAUUUUCAGGAAAAUACAAUAAAAUAUUCCUGAGAGUUAAAAUUAAUCAUGGGGACGUCCCUGGCGGUCCAGUGGUUAAGACUCUGCACUUGCACUGCAGAGGACACAGGGUUCGAUCCCUGGUCAGGGAACUAAGAUCUCACAUGCCUGCAUGGCGCCUCCCCCCUCCCCCCCAAAAAAUCGCUUGAAUAUGUGUGGCUCAUAUUCUUGAGUUUAAAGUUAAGUUUCAAGGGGUGUCCCUUAUAACAUUCAUAUAAAAAUUACCAUUAUGUUUGAAAGCUUCUAUUUCAACUGAUGUUGGGAUUUUAAUAUUACUUCUAAGGAAUGUGAUAUAUCAGAGCUACUACUGGCUCUUACAUGUCUCAGCUUUUCCUAUAAAUGGGAAUAAAAAGAUACCUGCUAAGAGGUAUGGAUUCAUUUUAAGUUAUUGGUGAUGCCCAACUAAACUAUCAUCAUGAAGUAAAAUGCAUUAUUAUUCAGAAAUAUUGAAAGCUUAAUAAGCGGAACGAGCUUGGUAUCCUAAAGACCAACUGACUGAAAAUCAAUUGUCUUAUGUGAAAAUAAAGUGUUUUCUCUAUGUGACUGGUUUCUUUUUGUGCAAUAGGAAAGUUAAUCUGGAAUCACUAAGAUGGAAUGUUCCAGAAAUAGACACUGUUCGUGUAUGUAGGGGCAGG